rnacentral:rRNA from 1 species
CAGCGCCACGAGUGGCAACCGCGAUUAUUGGGCCUAAAGCGUCCGUAGCCGGCCUAGUAAAUCCUUUGUGAAAUUGCUCAGCCUAACUGAGCAGCGUGCAAGGGAGACUGCUAAGCUCGAGACCGGGAGGAGUCAGAAGUAUUCCAGGGGGAGCGGUAAAAUGUGAUAAUCCUUGGAGGACUACCUGUGGCGAAGGCGUCUGACCAGAACGGAUUCGACGGUGAGGAACGAAAGCCAGGGGAGCAAACCGGAUUAGAGACCCGCGUAGUCC